UACGUAGGGUGCGAGCGUUAAUCGGAAUUACUGGGCGUAAAGCGUGCGCAGGCGGUUCGUUAAGUCAGCUGUGAAAGCCCCGGGCUUAACCUGGGAAUGGCGGUUGAAACUGGCGAACUUGAACCUGGCAGAGGGGGGUGGAAUUCCUGGUGUAGCAGUGAAAUGCGUAGAUAUCAAGCGGAACACCAGUGGCGAAGGCGAGUCCCUGGACAACUCCUGACACUGAGGCACGAAAGCUAGGGGAGCAAACAGG
rnacentral:rRNA from 1 species